UACAGGACAGGUGUAGACAUGGGUAUUACACAUAGUGGGGUUUCUUUCAACAAGCUAAAGCAUUUGGGGGACAUCAGAAAGCCGCAGAUUUAACCUUCUUCAUUUUAUCAGGAUGGCAGUUAAUUUCCUAAUACAAGGUUGACAGAAAACACAAUUAUAGCAGAUAGAGGGAGUUGGUAUUCUGUCCAGCAGUGUUUUGCUGUUAGUGAAGAUGGCGCAAGCACUGUCAGAAGAGGAGUUCCACCGUAUGCAGGCUCAGCUCUUGGAGCUGAGAACACAGAACUACCAACUCUCUGAUGAGCUGCGGAAAAAUACUGCAGAACUGAACAGUGUCCGUCAGAAGACCUCGAACCUGGAGAAAGAAUAUGUCAAAGCGCAGAAGGCCUUGAACAAGAGCAAGAAAGCACAGGAGGUAGAUGCCUUACUCAGUGAGAAUAAAAUGCUUCAGGGCAAGUUACACAGUCAGGAAGAUGACUUCAGACUGCAGAACAGCACCCUCAUGCAAGAGCUGUCCAAGUUAUGUUCCCAGAUCGAGCAAUUAGAAUUAGAGAAUCGGAGACUGAGGGAGGGUCAAGGGCUGGAAGGACCCGCCUCUAGCCCCGCCUCUGGUCCAGUGGAUGCUGAACUCCUCCGUCUACAGGCUGAAAACUCCGCCCUGCAGAAGAAAUUAAGAGCUCUUCAAGAAUGUGCAGAUGUUAAUGAUGGAAAAGCAGCUCUCAUCGAUGGAUCAGCCGGCACUAAUGGUGUCAAGUCAGAUGCCAGCUUUUACAGUGAUGACCCUUCAGCCUCAGGAAAUGAUCAGAUUGAUCAGGCCGAAGUGCAAAGCGUCAAACCGGAACAGCGAGAUAAUGAACUGAGCGAGGUGGCAUUAAAGCUUCAAACGGAAAUGGAGGAGAAAUGCUUACUGAGGGAACAACUCCAGACACUAGAGAUGUCCAAGCAGACAGAAAUCACAAAACUACAAGAAGAAAAUACUAAAUUAUGCGAUAAGUUGAAGAAAAAACAAGAGAGCUUCCAGCAGCUACAGGUUGAGAAGGAAGCACUUUACAAUGACAGCAGGACUAAAAUUGAUGAGAUCCAACAGAGGAAAGAGGAGGAGCUCAAAUCCAUAAACCUUCGUAUGCAGAAAGUGCAGACCGAUUUAAUGGCCGCUAACCAGAACGUCGCUGAACUGAAGGAGCAGUUGCAGAGUAAACAGAAAGAGCACGAGAUGGCCAUCCAUGCGCUCAAAGAUCAGGUAGCGUGUCAGAGCGCGAUCAGUCAGGAGCAGGUGGAGGGCAUGCUGAGUGAGAACGAUGCUCUCAGGACAAAUCUAGCAGCCCUAGAACAGAUCCAAACAGUAAAGACUCAGGAACAGAAUUUGCUGAGAGAGCAAAAUCUGGCAUUAAAUGCAGAGCUUCAGCAGAGACGCACAGAUCAGGAGAGCUUCCUGGCGCAGAAAGAUGAUCUCAACUCACAGCUACAGGAGUCGAACCGAGCGAACAGUCGACUUCUGGAGCAGCUCACUGAACUGGGUCUGGAAAAGGACAAGCUACAGCUGGAGUUAGAGGAGGCCAGAAAGACUGCGGAUAAGCGUAAGGUCAUGCUGGAUGAACUGGCCAUUGAGAUGGCGCAGGAGAAGUCACGGCACAAAGAGGAGCUCAGCGACGUGCGCUUGCAGCAUGAGAAGGAAGUGCUGAGCAUCAGGGCCCGCUAUGAGAAGGAGCUCCGUGGCCUCCACGAGGAGAAGAACCGCACAGAAGAGGAGAUCCGCUCCCAGCUACGAGAUGAGAGAGCUCGUACCAAAGAGCUACAGGGUCUUCAGCCAUAUGUGGAGGAGUUGAAAGCUCAGGUUCAGUCUAUGGAGGGGACGAAGGGCUGGUUUGAGCGCAGACUCAAGGAAGCAGAGGAGACCCUAGAAAAGAACAAACUGGAGCAGUCAGAAGAGAUCCAGCGGUUACAGAAAGCUAACACACUCCAGCUGGAGGCUAAAGCUGCAGAGGUGGAGGCAGUCAAACAGCAAGUGACGGAGAUGCAGAAAGAAAGAGAAGAACUCAACAACACAAUCAGCAAACUCAAACAGGAGAAUAAAGAUACAGUGGAUGGACAGAGAAUCCUGGAGAAAAAAGGUAGUUCAGCGCUGAAAGACUUAAAGAGGCAGCUCCAUCUGGAGAGAAAAAGAGCCGAUAAACUCCAGGAGCGCCUGCAGGAAAUCCUAACCAACACUAAGACUCGCACAGGUCUGGAGGAGCUGGUGUUGUCUGAGAUCAAUUCGCCGAGCCGUACGCAGCAGACGGGUGACAGCAGUAGCAUCUCCUCCUUCAGCUACAGAGAGAUCAUGAAAGAUGGGGCUUCGGCUCCCAGCACCAGUAAGUCCAACACCAGCAGCCCUCAGUCCCAGCGUCCUGCUGACCUUUCGGAUGAUGAGGUCAGUGAGCUCUUCCAGAGACUUGCCGAGGUCCAGCAGGAGAAGUGGAUGCUGGAGGAGAAGGUGAAACACUUGGAGGUCAGCUGUGCCUCAAUGGCCGAUGACAUCUGUAAAAAGACUGCCAUUAUUGAGACGUACGUCAUGGACAGCCGAAGAGAUGUAUCCGGAGGAGGUGCAGUGGCCCAUGGUGCUCAGGGUGAACGAGGAGGUUUGAGUUCUGUGCUGAGGGACUUGGUAAAACCUGGAGACGAGAACCUGCGUGAGAUGAACAAAAAGCUGCAGAAUAUGCUGGAGGAGCAACUGACAAAGAACAUGCACCUACAGAAGACUUUCAUUUGAUGCUUCAUGGGGAAUAAAGAGCUGAACCGUGUUGAGCAAUGACUCAUUCAGGUGGCUUCCUGUCAUAUGGUCCUGAGACUCCACUGAGAGGUCUUAUUCAUCAGCAAGCAGAGGGUGGGCGUGUUGUUAAUGCUAAAACGUUUCUAGGAGCAGGAAUAGAAAGUGCACGUCAGGCAGCCAGCAGGGUGAUGCGUUUGAUGGGAUUUACACCGUCACACAGAUUGACUAAUGACAAUUAACCUCUCACACCCCUCUUGAUAUUUCCAGAGCCGCACAUAGUUAAUGGCUGGUUUGUUGCUGUAGUGAAGCCAUGUGUUGGUUUGUUUGAAUUAUAUUAAAAACUAUAUGUGCUGUAAUAUUAUAGUCUCUUAUGCUCACCAAGCCGCAUUUAUCUGCUAAAAAUACAGUAAAAACAGUCAUACUGUGAAAUAUUAUAUAUUUUUUUUCUAUUUGAAUACAUAUCAAAAUAUAACUAUUCCUGUCCUUUCCAUCUUUGGAUAAAAGCGUCUGCUAAAAUGCAUAUGCGUAUGGUAUAUAUCACAAUGUGUUUUUCUUGACUGAAAAUGAAACCCAAAAGUGUCUUAAAGAUAACAUAACCAUAACAUAUAGUAAUAAAUAUCUAUUUUUGUAUAAUCAAGUGAUUCAAAAGGGUCAUAUGAUACAUGCAUGCAGAUAUGUGCAUACAGAAGAUCUGUAAAGUUGCAAAGACUAAAGUCUCAAAUCCAAGUUCCUCAUCAAAUUAAAGACUCUGCCCCCCCCC